rnacentral:rRNA from 1 species
GACGAACGCUGGCGGCGUGCCUAAUACAUGCAAGUUGAGCGCUGAAGGUUGGUACUUGUACCAACUGGAUGAGCAGCGAACGGGUGAGUAACGCGUGGGGAAUCUGCCUUUGAGCGGGGGACAACAUUUGGAAACGAAUGCUAAUACCGCAUAAAAACUUUAAACACAAGUUUUAAGUUUGAAAGAUGCAAUUGCAUCACUCAAAGAUGAUCCCGCGUUGUAUUAGCUAGUUGGUGAGGUAAAGGCUCACCAAGGCGAUGAUACGUAGCCGACCUGAGAGGGUGAUCGGCCACAUUGGGAUUGAGACACGGCCCAAACUCCUACGGGAGGCAGCAGCAGGGAAGCUUCGGAAAGGGACGAAAGUCUGACCGAGCAACGCCGCGUGAGUGAAGAAGGUUUUCGGAUCGUAAAACUCUGUUGGUAGAGAAGAACGUUGGUGAGAGUGGAAAGCUCAUCAAGUGACGGUAACUACCCAGAAAGGGACGGCUAACUACGUG